UACAGAGACUGCAAGCGUUAUUCGGAUUCACUGGGCGUAAAGGGUGCGCAGGCGGCCGUGUGUGUCAGGUGUGAAAGCCCGGAGCUUAACUCCGGAAUUGCGCCUGAAACUACAUGGCUAGAGCAUUGGAGAGGGAAGUGGAAUUCACGGUGUAGCAGUGAAAUGCGUAGAUAUCGUGAGGAACACCAGAGGCGAAGGCGGCGCCCUGGCUCGCAACUGACGCUCAGACACGACAGCAUGGGGAGCGAACGGG
rnacentral:rRNA from 1 species